rnacentral:rRNA from 1 species
UACGUAGGGUGCAAGCGUUGUCCGGAAUCACUGGGCGUAAAGCGCACGUAGGCGGAUUGCUAAGUCAGGGGUGAAAUCCUGGAGCUCAACUCCAGAACUGCCUUUGAUACUGGCGACCUUGAGUCCGGGAGAGGUGAGUGGAACUGCGAGUGUAGAGGUGAAAUUCGUAGAUAUUCGCAAGAACACCAGUGGCGAAGGCGGCUCACUGGCCCGGUACUGACGCUGAGGUGCGAAAGCGUGGGGAGCAAACAGG